GUGUUCAUCUUCUUCAAAAGACAUAUCAAAACCGAUUCUCUUGGGAAAAUUAGGGCUAGGGUCGACAAUCUUAUUUCCUUCAAUUAGUGAUUAGGACGUUCGCUUGGGUUGGAAGUCGACAGAGAUCGCAUCACACUAUCCGGUUUUUGAUUUCGGUAUUUAUACACUUGUGGCUUGGUUAUAUGGCAUGUAUAGGCUUGAGUUAUGUGGAAAUGUGUUUGGUAAUGUUGAAUGUGAGUUUGUCUUGUAUAUGAUGUAAAUGUUAGUGUGUAUUUUGUAACACCCCUAACCCGUGUCCGACACCAAAAUAGGGUUACGAGGCAUUACCUGAUUUACAACACAAUUAUACAUACAACUUUCAUACAUUUAUCACAUAUAUCAUCAUAUCUCAUUCUUUCAUAAA